AAAAGUUUUAUUCUUGCUUAAUUACUUAUUUUAAUUUAAUAUUAUAUGUAAAUUUUUGUAUUUUAAGGCUUCUUGAAGUGGCUAAAUUAAUUAUUUCAGUAAUGAAUAUUAAACAAUAAAAGGGAUUUUGAUUUAGUUAAUUUUGGUAAUAUUGAUUAAAUAUGUGCCAGCAGUCGCGGUUAUACAUAGGAUGUAAAUAAGUAUUUUCGGUAAUAUAGUUUAUUAUUUAGUGUAAUUUGAUUUAUUGAUUUUUAGGUAAAAUUUAAAUUUUUCAUUUUGUUAUAGGAAAAGUAAAUGAGGCUAUGAAAUCUAAAUUGAUUAAACUAGGAUUAGAUACCCUAUUAUUUUAGAUUUAAAUAUUUUAACUUGAGUAGUAUUAGGUAUGGUCUUGAAACUUAAAGAAUUUGGCGGUAUUUUAGUCUGGUUAGAGGAAUCUGUUCCGUUAUCGAUAAUCCACGUUGGACCUUACUUGGAAUAAUUUAAUAUGUAUACCGCCGUUUAUUUGAAAAUCUUUUUAGGGUUGAAUUUUCUUUAAAUUAUAAAUGAUUUUAUUUCAGGUCAAGGUGCAGUUUAUAUUUAAGUGGUAAUGGAUUACAAUAUUUAUAAAGUAUAUGAAUUAUUAUUUGAAAUUGUUUUAUGAAGGGGGAUUUAAUAGUAAUUGAUAACAAGAAUGUUAUUGUGAUUUAAGCUCUAAAAUGUGUACACAUCGCCCGUCACUCUCGUUAUUAAGAUGAGAUAAGUCGUAACAAAGUAGGUGUACCGGAAGGUGUAGCUAGAUUGAU
rnacentral:rRNA from 1 species